AUUUUUUACUACAGGUAUUUUGAUUCUUCAAACAAAGUGUGGUGAUGUUUUGAGUGGCUGAUGCAUUCUCUGCCACCAGGUAGUGCUAGAAGCUCCAAACUACAUGCUGCCCUGUAACUGCCUCUCUGCUGUCACACAUAGAGACAAGAUGGAGCUCCACUCAAAAUGAGUCCCCAGCAGAUUCCUUGCCAGUGUCACAACAACCUAAGUGAGUUUACAUGAAAGGAUAUCCUGUUUGUGUCACAUGACUGUCCUGCCUCCUGCCUGGCUACAGGCUCCUGCUAUGAACCUACCCCUCAAUCUUACAAAGCAUAAGUACAGUCCUGUUCUUCCACCACAGGGCCCCUGAUGCUAUCCAGAAAUUUCUCCAUUCAGUCCUCUCUGGUGCUGAGCCUGAACUCUCCUGGGAACACCCACUAUGCUGUCUCAACUCAGUCUUUCUGUUUACUUAUGGCAAUCUGAAUCCAAAUAAACUCCGUCUUGCCCUGUAAUCCCUCACCAUGUCCUCUUGAACCAACUACCUCAUCCAAAACCUCUUUAAAAGUAAAACAAAACAGGCAGGGUCUUAUUUCUUAAUUGAGCCUGGACUCAGAUGUACAGCAACCGUCCUGUCUGUGCCUCAUGAGUACUGGGAUUGUAUCAAAACCAUCAUGCCAGGUUCUGGUAUUCAACCUCACCAAUCCUUUAUUACAGUCACACUGAUCACGUGAAGGAGACAAAACAGAUGCCAUAGUGGAUAUCAUUUAUAUGCCAGAGGCAGUGUAAGUUUUUAGAAACAUUCUAUUGUUCAUAUUUCACAACACAGCACAAGGGAAGUUCACGGGCAUCACCAUCAUUCACUGGGAAAUGGAAAUCAUAGGAUUUAAUGUACUUCAUAAGAAACAAAUGGAGCCCCACAAUUAUCCUCUCAAAAAAUAAAUGUGAAAACCAGACAAUAAUCAAGAUAUCUACAACAUUUUAGAAUACACUUAGUGACAGAUGCCAGGAUCUAACACCAAGAUAUCAGGAAAGUCAAAUCUUCACUCCUCCCAUCUGCCCGCUUUUGCAUGGAUCACCAUUCCAGGACAUCUCCCCAGUAACUAACAGAGAAAGUAACUACUGAGUGUGCAGUGGAUGCUUGAUGUGCAUAAGACUUGUUCUUUUUAAAAACGUACAUAAUGCGUUCACAUUUGUGUAUGUGUCUAUGCCUGUGUGUACUGCAUCAUGUGUGCGGAGUUAGAGGAUAAUCUGUGGGAAUUGCCUGCCUCCUUCCAACAUGAGGUUUAAUUGAUUGAACUCAGGUCAGUGAGCUUGGAGGAAAAUGCUUCUACCCUCAGAGCCUCCUAACACAGUUCAAAUCUAUUUUCUGAGAUUGACCUACAGUAUGUGUACACUCUACAACAGUAAAACUGUAACAACAACAAACAAUAAACAAAGCAAAAAAAAUCAAAACAAAAA